CCUACGGGAGACAGCAGUGGGGAAUAUUGGGCAAUGGGCGCAAGCCUGACCCAGCAACGCCGCGUGAAGGAAGAAGGCUUUCGGGUUGUAAACUUCUUUUCUCAGGGACGAAGAAAGUGACGGUACCCGUGGAAUAAGCCACGGCUAACUACGUGCCAGCAGCCGCGGUAAUACGUAGGUGGCAAGCGUUAUCCGGAUUUAUUGGGUGAAAAGGGCGUGUAGGCGGGAGCACAAGUCAGAUGUGAAACCUCAGGGCUCAACCCUGAGCCUGCAUUUGAAACUGUGUUUCUUGAGUGCGGGAGAGGCAAUCGGAAUUCCGAGUGUAGCGGUGAAAUGCGUAGAUAUACGGAAGAACACCAGUGGCGAAGGCGGAUUGCUGGACAGUAACUGACGCUGAGGCGCGAAAGCGUGGGGAGCAAACAGGAUUAGAUACCCGUGUAGUC
rnacentral:rRNA from 1 species